AUCAAACUCUACUAGAAAUGCUGUUGUUGACUGGUCCAUCUCACCUCGAACAGCCAGAUGAUGAGCACGGUGAGCCCGAUGGACUGCAUGAUGUAGGUGUAGUACUCCAGCAGCGCCUGGCGGCAGCCUUUCCUCCACAGGUUCAGCUCCUCCGUCUGGUGCUCGUAGUUAAAGUGAGCAGAGUUGUUGGUGAGCUGCUGCUGGAUGCAGGGCCGGGGGGAGUUGAUGUUACAGCAGCUGAAGGGGACUCCAUCCAUCAGCACUUGAAAUCUAUCUGCAGAAGGUCCACAGUGCGCUUCAGGAAGCAUCGUCCCGGUGUGUCUGUGUCUUUAUAGAACUUCAGGGCUGCUGCCAAACCCUGGUUCAGGGACUCCUCAAGCUCUCCCCGCAUGGCGUAACACAUCAGAGCCCCCACCAGCACGCAGAAGGUAAAGAAGAAGGUGCAGAUGAUGUAGGGCAGCAUGAUCAGCUUCCAGCGCAGGAACUUGUUGGUGUCCACGCAGUCAUAGCAGAUCUUCCCACCCAGGAAGUUUAUGGCACAGGCAAUGAGGCCCACAGCAAUCAGCAUGUUGGGCACGUAAUGGAUAUCUCUGUCAGCCAUCAUUUCUUCUCGCUUGUUGAGCUCCACCUUUAGAAAGAGCCCCAAGCUGAAGAGGAUGGCCCCUGUCAAUACUGAGAACCAGUUUAGGAGCCACAGCACCUGGGCGAGCUUGUCCCUCUUGUUCUUGUCAUCUUUGAAGCCGACAUCCUCAGCUUUAGUCUCAGAAAGAGUGAUCGUAGUGACACGGAUACUAUGAAGGCAGCCACAACAGCAUCAGAGUGGGACUAUCAGCCAAAUCCUGACCCUCCUCCUAAUCUCCUUUAAUCAUUAAAGAGCCCUGGGCCCUGCAGGGGAUUUGGACCAACCUUCUGCUACCUACGCAAAUCCAACUGUCCAAGUGCUAUGAGAGUAAUGGAUGAGUGCCAUUGUUAGAGUGUUUUGUGUCUGUUUCAGGUAGGUCAAUAGCUUAAGUGUGAAAACUUGGACUGCAGACCUGCUGACACAUGACUCCAGACUUGACAGUUUGAAAGAGAGACAUUUUGUAGUUAAAGCUCCUAUGAGGGGUAUUUAGCUGGUUAUGAAAGUCUAGAAUUAAUACUGAUGCUUAUAUAUGACCUACAAAUGUCGACAAGAUCAUCAUCAAAAAGAUUGGCUAUAACGUCAAGGUUAUUUUUGAUGCCUGAAACCA